CACGUGUUAUGCCUCUGAGUACUAAGAAAUGUCUCGGAUGGAAAAAUAACAGCAGUUAAAUUUUCCAUGACAUGUAUUGCUUCAGCUGUAUAAAGAUACACUGCAUAUUCCAUCUUGGACUCAAUGAACACCACAAGACUAACAAGACUUUGCCGAUUUGUAGGCCUUGAUUUACCGGAGAACAAUACAGAGCCUCAGAGGAAAAGUUAUAGUUGCAUACUUCAUCAUUCUACUUAAGCCAUUCAUGGAACACUUCAGUCUUCAAUCCCAAAAGGAAACACAACACACUAGGACACAAGCACCAGCUAACUUCAGAAGCCUGUGACAGAACCUUCCCAGCAGCCAGGAUUCCCAUCAGUUACUUCCAGGCUUUCGUUAAACACUACAAAUAAAAAGACACAAGAGCACCAUAUUAUGUUUGAUGUUUCUAUGCUACCUCUCAAAAUCCAGCAGGUCCAAGGGAAUGGAGAGAUGUGUGGGACACACAAGUGGAUGGCAGCUCAACCCCACCUGUAAGAAAAUCCAGUUUACCCACAGAGUUUUCUGCUGUUCAAGGAAGACAGAUGACCUUUGUUGAGGAUUCAGUACUCUGAAGAAUUGAAAGAACAUUCUGCAAGGGUCAGGUGGACAACAGGAAAGUGUGCUACCUUCCCAGAGUCAAGACACAAAAUAUCACUCUAAGAUUGGAUAGGCUUCUGCAUAGGUGCCAACUCUGUGGGUGCUCCAGCCUUGGAGCACCCAGGAAAAAAUUAGCGGGUGCUUAGUACC